UUAAAAAUGCAUUUACUUUCUUUUAAAAAUCCGCAAUUACCUUUUUGGGCAACCCAAUAUGUCAUUAUGAAAUUUCAAUAAUGCAUGUUGAGUGGAGUGCGCCUUUCUAAAGCCAAACUGGAAGUUUGAUACAGGUUCAAUAAUAUAACCAUUUUCAAUUUUCUCCUUCAGGAUGUUUUUUGUUAUUCAUACGAUGAAUAAUAUCCUUGACUUUUUCAGUGUUUGUAAAAUGAAAAUUAUCUGGAUUCUGUGAUGCAUUGAAAUGAUCGUCAAAAGUAUAAAUAUGGUGGGGAAUGGUAUUUACACAAUUUACUACUCUUUGUUGCAAGUCUUCAACUGGACAACGAGGCAGUUUCUGACGGAAUGUUUCUGUACAAAAUUCAUGGAACUCGUUUGCAAUAUCUGUGCUAUUGGUAAUUAUGUUACUGUUGCGGACUAUAUGCUGACAAAAUGGGAACUUAGACUUCCCCGUAAUUUGAUAAAUUCUUUUAAAUGCGGAUGGACCAGGUUUAAUUUUUUGUGGUCUUUUAUUAAAGUAAUCAGCUUGUUCUAUGUUAACCGAUUCUUUAAUUAUAGUCUUUAGCAAUUGUAUUUGUUUAGAUAGGACCACAUACUUACUGUUAAUGCGGUUCCCGGUGCGAUGAAAGAUUUUCUUCAGCUCCUUCUGCCACGCAUAUUUGAUUUUAUAUAACUUUUUGGUUCUUUCCGAUAAUGGAGAUUUAUUGCCUUGUAUUAAAAUUUGCCAUGUAUGUGUGUUGUGAAUGAUAUUGAAAGACGCUUUAAAUUCGUCUAUUAGGUCAUCAAUUUCAUCAUUCUCAAGAUUUACAGUGGAAAGAGGCAUCAUUCGACAUGCAGCGAUAUCCAUAUCCAAUCUGUUUCUUUAUAAGAGGUAUAUGUCCUCGGAGUUCUCAUUAUGAAUUCUGGAUGUUUUAUUUGGAGAGAUAACUUUAUUGCGAAGUGAUCCUGAGAAAGAGGGCAGUGUCAUGAGUUCAAAGUUUGGUGAAAUCCUGUUUAAAAGAUGGCAUUCCUGUAUGAAGCCGAUGUCUAUUUAUUACUGUGCAGUGUGUCCUUUAGACCAAUUUGGCGACUAACAUCAUUAAGGGAUCUUACGUUGCGCAAAAACUCAGCUUUGGCCUCGGAUUUUGACAUUCUCGCAUACUCAGAGAGAAAGAUGUUGACUUCCUGUUCCAAAGUCAAAUCCUCAGGUUCCAGAAAAAGGGAUGCUAAUUUUAAAAAUUGAUCUAUGAUGGCAGGUUUUUGUUGCACUGUAUUUUGCUCAGAGGGACGAGUAUGAAACAAAUUGGAAAACGUAUGUCCUGGAGUAACCAUCGACAUGUUUACAGCUUUGUGAACAUUUGCCUUGGCAAGCGCCCUUUCUUCUUUGGCCUUCACUAUCUUUUGCUGACGCGCAGCAACAUAUUUCUUAUAAGUAGGACAUCCCCGCAAAUUCGCUGGAUGACCCUCCUCACCGCAAUUAUUACAAAAGGGAUUUGAUGAAUCCUCCUUUGUACGUUGGCAUUCAACCGGGCCAUGUUUUUGGUUGCAUUUGACACAAUUGUAUGACGAACUACAAUUUUUUGCAAUGUGGCCCCAACGCUGACACCUCCUACAUUGAAUUUCAUUGUCCUUCCUUAUUGGUUUUUCCCAGGAUACGAUUUGACUUUGCAAAGCUCUUAUGUUCGAAAUGUCUGAGAGUUUUUUUCCUGGCAACUAUGACACAAAAAGAGGCUAGUCUCAUUGUUUUUUGGUGUUUUAAUAUUUUGCAACA
rnacentral:sRNA from 1 species